rnacentral:lncRNA from 1 species
GAUGUUUGAGCACCAGCAUAGAUCAGCAUGCCAGGAAGCAGCCCACCGGACCCACCCGUGAUCAUGGCUCUGGACAUUGUUUUCCGUGCUUUUCUCAGGCUGGUUUCUGCCUGUCCCAACCCUGGCCAUGGCUGACAAGGGGCCCAGGGGCACUGGAGCAGAGAGACCUGCUGGUCCUUGGGGUUUCUUGCAAGGCAGGACUCUACAUCCUCCCUUGGGGACUAAUUGAUCUGUCAGUAAAAUGUAAACUUCUGACUCCAUGGGUCUGUGAAUCAGCUGCCUCUAAAGGGAAAUAUCCCAGGAGUGAUGAAAACUUGAAGAUCGAGGAUUGGAUAUAAGCUCAGAGGUGAAGGAGGGAAAUUCCUCGGGUCAACUUUAGCAGACUGAUCCACGGGGUCUGCCAAGAGACAGGAGCUCGAGUGCUCAACAAAUAUUAGCUGUUGGCUCCAGAGUUUAAUACCUCUGAUCACUACAAGCUUUGAAGGCAAGAUAAAAUAACUGCAACAUGUGAAUCAUCUGUGAACACUUCCUGUGAAUGUGUGACUAUGAUUAUGGAACACUCUGUUGCAUCAAGAUGGCCAGAGAUUGUCUCAGAGUCCGGGCAGUGGGAGGAGGGGGGAUUUGUUUCCUGGCUGGGUGGUCGUAGGGCAUCAAGGGAUGAGCAGCUUUGGUUGUCUGGGAUUUCAGCAGCUUGAGGGGAGCUGUAGGGCCCCAGAGCUGUCGCUGUGGCUGUGGUGUCAGAAAUGUAAGCAAGGUGCCUCCAUGGAAGUUAGCGAGGGAGCCCCUCUGAAUGCAGGGUGGAAUGCAACCUUUCGCAUGGAGGAGGCCCUCAGCAGCUGACCUCUGUCUUCCCUGUGUAGAGGGAGGGAAGCUGAGGCUGGGGCUGAGCGAGGGGUAAAGUAAGCCACGUGUUUCAUCAGCUAGCCAGCAGCAAGCACAGCCCUCUGGGAGGGCUGGUUCUAUCCUCCUCCUUGGUGUGAAAUCCAUCAGUCUAAUAGGGAUCCUUAUUUUCCCAGCCACCAAGUCACAAUGAGCAAUAAUCUC